rnacentral:rRNA from 1 species
CUGGUUGAUCCUGCCAGUAGUGAUAUGCUUGUUUCAAAGAUUAAGCCAUGCAUGUCUAAGUAUAAGCGAACUUAUACAGUGAAACUGCGGAUGGCUCAUUAAAACAGUUUGAAUUUAUUUGAUGAAUGUAUGAGAAUACUACUUGGAUAACCGUAGUAAUUCCAGAGCUAAUACAUGCAACGACGCCCGACCGUUUCACUACGGAAGGGCUGUAUUUAUUGGAUACCAAAACCAUCCUUCCCUCGGGAAGUUUUGUUUGAUGAUUCACAAUAACUGAUCGGAUCGCCACUGUGGUGGCGACAGGUCAUUCAACAUUCUGCCCUAUCAGCUUUCGAUGGUUGUGUAGUGGACAACCAUGGCCAUAACGGGUAACGGAGAAUCAGGGUUCGGUUCCGGAGAAGGAGCUUGAGAAUUGGCUACUACAUCUAAGGAAGGCAGCAGGCGCGCAAAUUACCCAAUCCCGAUUCGGGGAGGUAGUGACAAAAAAUAACAAUACCGGGCCUUUUUGGGCUUGGUAAUUGGAAUGAGGGAGAGUUAAACGGACCAUCGAGUAUCCAUUGGAGGGCAAGUCUGGUGCCAGCAGCUGCGGUAAUACCAGCUCCAAUAGCGUAUAUUAAAGUUGUUGCAGUUAAAAAGCUCGUAGUUGGACUUGUGUGCGCUGUCCGCGGGUGGCCUGCGCCCAAAAGGGCGUUUCGGUUCGGCCCCGGUGGCGCCUUGAAAUCUGCAGCUGGGGGGACGUUGGCCUUAACUGGUCGGCGACCGCACGCCGGCUGCUCGGUUACUGUGAGAAAAUUAGAGUGUUCAAGGCAGGCAUUGGGUGCAAUUGAAUACAUUAGCAUGGAAUAAUAAAAUAUGGCUCCUGCCGUAUUUUGUUGGUUUUGACUGGUGGGAGUAAUGAUUGAUAGGGACGGUUGGGGGUGCUAGUAUUGAGCGGCCAGAGGUGAAAUUCAUGGAUUCGCUCAAGACUAACUUAUGCAAAAGCAUUCACCAAGGACGUCCUCUUUAAUCAAGAACGAAAGUUGGGGGAUCGAAGACGAUCAGAUACCGUCGUAGUCUCAACCAUAAACUAUGUCGACUUGGGAUCGGCGGUAGUUUUUUCAUUAAGACACUGUCGGGACCACGGGAGAAAUCAAAGUGUCUGGACUCUGGGGGAAGUAUGGUCGCAAGGCUGAAACUUGAAGGAAUUGACGGAAGGGCACCACCAGGAGUGGAGCCUGCGG